rnacentral:rRNA from 1 species
UACGGGGGGGGCAAGCGUUGUUCGGAAUUACUGGGCGUAAAGGGCGCGUAGGCGGCCUGCUAAGUCGGACGUGAAAUCCCUCGGCUCAACCGGGGAACUGCGUCCGAUACUGGCGAGGCUUGAAUCCGGGAGAGGGAUGUGGAAUUCCAGGUGUAGCGGUGAAAUGCGUAGAGAUCGGGAAGAACAUCGGUGGCGAAAGCGCUCUACUGGACCGCAACUGACACUGAGGGACGAAAGCUAGGGGAGCGAAUGGG